rnacentral:rRNA from 1 species
UUUCCGUAGGUGAACCUGCGGAAGGAUCAUUGUCGAAACCUGCAAAGCAGAACGACCCGUGAACACGUACUUAAAACUGGGGCUGAGGGGUUGCGUUCUCGCUCCCCACUCCCCUUUGUUGGGAUGCACGCGUGAUUGUGUCACCAACAUGGUGACUYGCACGAGUGUACUCCUGGCUUUUAAAACAACCCCCGGCGCGGACCGCGCCAAGKAAUUUUUUAAGAAGGAGCACGCCCCAUUGCCUCGAUACCGGKGUGAGUAGGUGGUUGUGAUGCCUAAAAUGUCUUUAACGACUCUCGGCAACGGAUAUCUCGGCUCUCGCAUCGAUGAAGAACGUAGCGAAAUGCGAUACUUGGUGUGAAUUGCAGAAUCCCGUGAACCAUCAAGUCUUUGAACGCAAGUUGCGCCCGAAGCCAUUUGGCCUAGGGCACGUCUGCCUGGGCGUCACGUACAAUGUCACUCCACCAAAACUCUCCUUGAAGAGCUGGGCGGAGUGGAGAUUGGUCUCCCGUGCAAGACCUGUGCGGUUGGCCCAAAAACAAGCAUCCGACGACAUAACGUCACGACAAGCGGUGGUUGAUUAGCCCAUGUGGUUGCCUCAUCAUGUCGUGUGCGUCAUGUCGGCAGUGAGUGAUUGACCCCAUCACGCCUUUUGGCGCUUCUGUCGCGACCCCAGGUCAGGCGGGAAUACCCGCUGAGUUUAA